CACGUAGGUGGUUUCGUGUGUCGAUGGUGAAAUCCUGCAGCUCAACUGUAGAACUGCCGUCGAAACUACGAGGCUAGAGGACAGGAGGGGAGAGUGGAAUUCCUAGUGUAGCGGUGAAAUGCGUAGAUAUUAGGAGGAACGCCGGUGGCGAAAGCGACUCCCUGGACUGUUUCUGACACUGAGGUGCGAAAGCUAGGGGAGCAAACA
rnacentral:rRNA from 1 species